AACGAACGCUGGCGGCAUGCCUAACACAUGCAAGCCGAACGAGAUCUUCGGGUCUAGUGGCGCACGGGUGCGUAACGCGUGGGAAUCUGCCCUUUGGUUCGGAAUAACAGUUGGAAACGACUGCUAAUACCGGAUGAUGACGAAAGUCCAAAGAUUUAUCGCCAGAGGAUGAGCCCGCGUAGGAUUAGCUAGUUGGUGUGGUAAAGGCGCACCAAGGCGACGAUCCUUAGCUGGCCUGAGAGGAUGAUCAGCCACACUGGGACUGAGACACGGCCCAGACUCCUACGGGAGGCAGCAGUGGGGAAUAUUGGACAAUGGGCGAAAGCCUGAUCCAGCAAUGCCGCGUGAGUGAUGAAGGCCUUAGGGUUGUAAAGCUCUUUUACCCGGGAUGAUAAUGACAGUACCGGGAGAAUAAGCUCCGGCUAACUCUGUGCCAGCCGCCGCCGUAA
rnacentral:rRNA from 1 species